rnacentral:tRNA from 1 species
GAGGGUGUAGCUCAAGCGGUAGAGCACAUGCUUAGCAUGCACAAGGUCCUGGGUUCAAUCCCCAGUACCUCCU